rnacentral:lncRNA from 1 species
AUCAGAUGUUCCUUCAGGAACAGAAACUGAGGAGGAAGAUGAUGGCAUGAAUGACAUGAAUCACGAGGUCAUGUCAUUAAUAUGGAGUGAAGAUUUAAGGGUGCAGGAUGUGCGAAGGCUUCUUCAGAGUGCGCAUCCUGUCCGUGUCAACGUAGUGCAGUACCCAGAGCUCAGUGACCACGAGUUCAUCGAGGAAAAGGAAAACAGGCCACAGAAAUGGUACUUCUGAGGCUGUAUUGGCAAAAGGGAUGGGAG